ACGCGAAGAACCUUACCAAGCCUUGACACUGAUCGCAAUCUGCAGAAAUGCGGAGUUCCUCUUCYUGAGGACGAGAAAACAGGUGGUGCACGGCUGUCGUCAGCUCGUGUCGUGAGAUGUUGGGUUAAGUCCCGCAACGAGCGCAACCCCUAUCUUCUGUUGCCAGCACGUAAAGGUGGGAACUCAGGAGAGACCGCCGCGGACAACGCGGAGGAAGGCGGGGAAGACGUCAAGUCAUCAUGCCCCUUAUGGCUUGGGCUACACACGUACUACAAUGGGUGCAAACAAAGAGAAGCGAAGUCGCGAGACGGAGCGGACCUCAUAAACGCACUCCCAGUUCAGAUUGCAGGCUGCAACCCGCCUGCAUGAAGUAGGAAUCGCUAGUA
rnacentral:rRNA from 1 species